ACCCCAAGAAAUCACAGUUACAUGUACCAUCAAGCCAAUGUGUCAAACUCUACCACCAUACACUCAUUUUCAAGGCUACUUUGAUCAUAUGAUCCCGAAUGUUCUACUAGCUGCCGAGGACAAAAUCUAGGGUUAGGUUUUGGAAGGAUGGGUGGAGGAGCAAGGUCUCGGGCGAGGGCCAAGAAGAGGGCGGGAGAGAGUAGGAAAGCCUACGAGGCUCGGGAAAGGAAGAAACCCGACGAGGCUGAACCAUUGCUGUAUCUAUGCACUUUCGAGAUCUACCGUGGAGGUUUAGCCGGAUACCGUGUCCAGGUCAUCAGAUUGAGCGACUUGUUCAUUCCUUCCGAUACUCCCAUCACUAUAUUUUGCCCCAAAUCUCAAGCCCCCAACUCUAACUCCACCGAGGUGCUACGACAAUUUGCUUUUUUAGACGGCGAACACGUUCCCGGCCAUAUGGGUUUUGGUUUCUUGGGCUCUCGAAUUGUUCUGGCCGGCGGCCGGUUUCUCAAUCCGUGGAUGAGACACAAACCUAAACCAACCUAUGUUUUGGAGACUGAUCAGAGUGUGGAACCCAACCCCAGGUUCAUCAGCACCAGAGGUACUCCUAAUCCUAAACCCCCCUAUAUGAUUCCGGAAUUGGAACCGGAAAAACGUCGUCCCUGGAUGCGGGAGAUCGACGGUAAGCUAUACGCUCUCUCUGGCGAUCACAUAGGAUAUGCGGCUUUUGAGGUUUUUGACCCCAGAACCGACCAUGUAUGGGCUUCUCUCCCAUCGCUUCCAAUUAGGAAUCUUCCAAUUGGGAUUGACGGGCUUUCUUUAUCCUCGUGUGCCGCUGUGGGCACCAAGAUCUUGAUCACACUUCCGUUAAAGUCUAGGGUGGCAGUAGUCAAGAUACUCUGCUUCGACGUGGCUCACCCUGAGAGAUCAUGGACUACACUUGAAGAACCACCCUGGUGGCAGUUUAAUAGUGUUUUCCCCGACUUUUACAACGAGGUUUUAGUUUUAGACUUGGAGGAUGACGACUGUGAGAAGCUACUGUUUACUUAUGAUUUUGAAUAUUGCCAAAUACGAGUCUCCAGCAUGAAGCUGUCCAAUGAAGGUGAACCUAAGUGUAUUCAACCGCUAGAUGAGAUAGAUUUGCCUGAUGCGUUUAAGAACUUGGAUGAUUUUUUAGCAACUUCAUACAGCUGUGCUCAUCUUGGAGGUCGAAGAGUAUGCUUUUCAUUCGUGCAUUUGCUAACUCUUCUUGUGUUCACCUUCGAAUUUUCCUAUUCGAUUUCUGGAAUAUUCUCUGUCAAAGCCCUGGGUCAUCGCCUGUUCGACUACUACUCGAAUGAGGAACUUCGUUCUAUCGUUUUGGGUGGUUGCUUUGUGCUGUAACUCCAUCUCUCGUAAGAAGAAGUGUGACAUGGCGCUGACGUGCCUGACCUAUUUCUGGCCGUCGGGGCAAGUGCCUAACCCUGAUGUGCAGGAGGACACGGUUGUUGCCGCAAAAGCUGGGCCAUCAGCCUUGUUGGGGCGGCCGUCCCUGUGGACAUAGAUGAAGAUGUGUGUCUGUGGACAUUGAUGAAGAUGUAAGCACACAAGUCAAGACCCGCCUGCUGGUGAAUGAGAAGGACAAGUUGCGCACUUGCGCUGCACCACCAACUACAUGCUCUUGUAAUAUAUAAAUGUUUUAUUUCGCUCGACUACGUUUUUAGCCUAUCAUCAUUUGUAUUUUGUAAUGUAACAUCACUUCUAUUAGCUUGUCCAACUCUUUUGCGUGUUUCUUUAACUUCUUUAAAAAUCUUUUGCAACUAUUAUGCUUUAAUCAUUGAUUUUGAC